CAAGAUAUAAUUUAAAUAGAAUGUUGGCUUUGGGGGUCAAAAGUAGGGGUUAAAGUCCCUUUAUCUUGA
rnacentral:tRNA from 1 species